rnacentral:rRNA from 1 species
UACGUAGGGGGCAAGCGUUGUCCGGAUUUAUUGGGCGUAAAGAGCUCGUAGGCGGCUUGGCAAGUCGAUUGUGAAACCUCCAGGCUUAACCUGGAGACGCCAGUCGAUACUGCCAUGGCUAGAGUCCGGUAGGGGACCAUGGAAUUCCUGGUGUAGCGGUGAAAUGCGCAGAUAUCAGGAGGAACACCGGUGGCGAAGGCGGUGGUCUGGGCCGGAACUGACGCUGAGGCGCGAAAGCUAGGGGAGCAAACAGG